rnacentral:lncRNA from 1 species
ACCACAAAUCCGAAGCCCUCAAGCGCAAGAUUCACACCCUCGACAACUCCACCUCGGACUCCCUCCGCCUCCUCGACCACCGCGAAACCUCUCUCGACGCCACUCUCCAGAUCGCCCUCCGCACGCUCGACACGCGCCGCACCGCUGCUCUCUCCGCCCUCCUCCACGACGCUGACGACACCUCCCCCGACGGCGAGGUCGAUGACACCGCCGGCCUCGUCCUCAAGCUCAAGUCCUUCUGCCUCCGCAUGGACGCGUUCGGCUUCUUCGCCUUCGUCAG